GACGAACGCUGGCGGCGUGCCUAAUACAUGCAAGUUGAGCGCUGAAGGUUGGUACUUGUACCAACUGGAUGAGCAGCGAACGGGUGAGUAACGCGUGGGGAAUCUGCCUUUGAGCGGGGGGCAACAUUUGGAAACGAAUGCUAAUACCGCAUAAAAACUUUAAACACAAGUUUUAAGUUUGAAAGAUGCAAUUGCAUCACUCAAAGAUGAUCCCGCGUUGUAUUAGCUAGUUGGUGAGGUAAAGGCUCACCAAGGCGAUGAUACAUAGCCGACCUGAGAGGGUGAUCGGCCACAUUGGGACUGAGACACGGCCCAAACUCCUACGGGAGGCAGCAGUAGGGAAUCUGCGGCAAUGGACGAAAGUCUGACCGAGCAACGCCACGUGAGUGAAGAAGGUUGUCGGAUCGUAAAACUCUGUUGGUAGAGAAGAACGUUGGUGAGAGUGGAAAGCUCAUCAAGUGACGGUAACUACCCAGAAAGGUACGGCUAACUACGUG
rnacentral:rRNA from 1 species